GAAAAUAUGUCUUACAAAUAAUCUAGUGACUUUGUCUUUAAAUGAACUAAGGGUGGCAAGUACGUAGUAUAGAACUCAUUGCUUGCCGUCAAAAGUGUUCAAGGUGGAAAUCGUUGACGCCAUUUCGUAUCUCGUUUCGCUGAAAGCGUCACGAAAGUUUUAUCCCUUUUUACUUUAAUUUAAUUUCGCCAAAACGUCGCAGCCACAUAAAAUGGUUUCAUCUAAUCAACCGAGAAAGACAAAAAUAUUUGUGGGUCGGUUACCAGAAAAUUGUCGCAACGAUGAGUUGCGACAAUUAUUUUUACGUUUUGGUGAGGUAACGGAAUGCGAUGUCAUGAAUCGAUAUGGGUUUGUCCACAUGGCACGUGAGGAAGAUGCAGCUGCCGCAAUCAAAGCUCUUCACAAUUCAAACUUCAAAGGGGCAACAAUCAAUGUGGAACAGUCUACAGGCAAAUCACGUGGUGGAGGAGGAGGACGCAGGGAUGGAGACAGAAGAGGUGGACCAGUGAGAGGUGGUAGGGGGGGACGAGACGGUGGUAGAGACGCUCGUCCUGGACCAUACAAUGAUAGAAGAGUUCUUCCGAUCCAACUCGUUGGUUACGAUGGAUCUGCUGCAGGUGGCGUCGCAACGGGGUACACCGAUUACAAUCGUGGCGCUGGAGACUUUAGUGGACGUGGAGCUGAUUUUGGGACUGGAUACACUGAUCGUGGAGCGUAUGGUCAAAAUGUGGGGAGCGCGGCAAUGGGUUACACUUCUACGGCACCUGGAAUGGGAGGAGGAUACGGACCAGCAACUGGAGCUGUUGGAGGAUAUGGACCAACUGGAACAGCUGAUUACGGUCGAACUGACUACAGUCGUGCUGCAGAUUUUGGAGCUAGAACAGAUUACGUAGUUGGAGGUGGGAUGACUGGGGACUUUAAUCGUGGUGCCCCAGGUCCAAUGGAUUAUGGACGUACAGAUAAUUUUGGUGCAAAUCGUACUGUUGAUUAUACAGCUAGAAAUGAUUAUGAUCGAGCUGCAACUGGACCUAUGAGAAACGGUGGUGGUGCAGUUGCCACUACUGGGUAUGGGACGGGUUACACAGAUGUAGGAUAUGAUGAAAGUCACUGGGGUUAUCCGGGCGGGCCUGGGGAUAUGAUGGGUGGGCCCGGGGGGGUAAGUCAGGGAGCUUCGAUGGCCUACGACAGGAGGGAUGGUCCCCCUGUUAAUGAUAUACCUCCAUUUAACAGGCCAAUGAGUACUGGACCCAGCUACAGCACUGGGGCACCUAGUUAUAGUACUGGUCCUGGACCACAAGCAGACAUGUUUAGUAGAAGACCUGGCAGUGCUGUCCCUAGUGGUGGAUAUCCACCUGUUGGUGGAGGCUAUACCGAAGGGUACGACAGACCAGAUGCAUAUGGUCCUCCACGUGGUGGCGGACGAUUACAAGCGGGAUGACGAGACCCUGGACAAUGCGAUGAACUCAGAUUGGAGGUAUGAAUCCUAAUAAUAUGAAGAAGCCCUUCCUCUACUCAGAUCGAUGGGUCUUUUCUCUCAAGAGAGAUACUUGCAGCAAUGUUAAACCAACGAAGACACAACACAGGAAGAAAGAAAGAAUUUCUGUUUUGACAACAUAUGCUGAACAUUUCCAUUUGCAAUCUAGGAGGAUUGGAUUCUUGGAUUUGUAGUGGAUACCUUUGGAAAUUUCCAAUAAUGGAAUAAUCAGCAAACUAGUAUAUGAUCUUCCAGAUGAGCCCACAGGUAGUAUAGUAUAGUACCAUUCAAAAUAUCAAUUAUUUCAUCAAGGUUCUUCAAAGUAUGAGUAUGACACACCUCAAACGCUUUUCUUUCUUAUCUCUCAUUUACUUAAAAGGGAACAUACUUUGUGACUUUCAAAAAACAAAUAUUUUUAUUAGCUUAUUUAAACGUACAUAGAAAUUAAUAGAAUAUGGCAGAUAUUUUAUUUUAUUAUUGAAAACAAAUUCAAAUUGUCAAUAAUUUUUCACGAAAUUUGAUACAUACAUAUAACUGAUGGAUUUUUGGCAUGUCAAGUCACAUUUUUUAUUAAAAAUUUCAAAUUUUUAUUAACUAAUGAAGGAAACAAUUUUUACGUAAAAUGUCACGGUUUCGUGAAAAAUAGCAUAAUUUUGUCAAUUUGCAAAAAUUUAAAAAUCGGCCCUACUAAUACAAUAGCGUAUGCGAUAGAAUCUAAUAAAAUUCUUUCUUUUUUUCAAAUUGUACGAUUGUGAAGAUAAAUUAUGCUAACAGCGUAGCAGUGCAACUUUGUUCGCACUGUAAUAUAUACCAAAAUUAAUGCGUCAUUCAUAUUCGUUAAUAUAUAAAUUCGGUAUUUUUUAAGUAAUAUGUACGGUAUCCUCUCUGUAAUAAAAAAAAUAAUCAAAUCA